GACGAACGCUGGCGGCGUGCUUAACACAUGCAAGUCGAACGGAACUUUCGGGUUCAGUGGCAAACGGGUGAGUAACGCGUAGGUAAUCUGCCGCAAAGUUGGGGACAACAGUUCGAAAGGACUGCUAAUACCGAAUGUUAUACAAGUAUCGCAUGGUAUUUGUAUUAAAGAUUUAUCGCUUUGCGAGGAGCCUGCGUCCGAUUAGGCAGUUGGUGAGGUAACGGCUCACCAAACCGACGAUCGGUAACCGGUCUGAGAGGAUGAACGGUCACAUUGGAACUGAGACACGGUCCAGACUCC
rnacentral:rRNA from 1 species